AGAAAACUAAAUGAGCAAAAUGUUAUUUAAAAAGUUCUUUAGCUAAUUUUAUGGGAUUUAAAGGUAUAAAGAAAGUUUCUCAUGAAAAGAAUUCGAGGCAGAGCUUGAGACGGGAUCUUCCGGAAAUAACUUUUCUAUUUUCACGAGGUAAAGAUAUGUUUGUGUACAUAUUAUUCUCCCCAGACCCUAUUUAUAGGAAUACAUUGAAUAUGUUGUUAUUAGCUCGACCAGUUUGCAAGCUUUUAACCCAUAUUUGUUUACCACAGUUAUUAGUACAAAACCACUACUACAUUUUAGAUUAAAUUCACACAGACACUAUCGUGUAUUUUAACCUGUUACACCAUAUGGUGUACUUUUUUUUCUAGAUCAAAUAAAAUUUUUGUCUAGUCAUUUACCUAAGGUAAUUUUAACUUAAACUGUGUAAAACCUUUUAUUCGUAAUAGCAUCCAAUUAAUGCUUAUGGAUUCUGCACCCUUACAGUUGAUUGUUUUCGUCUAUCAAAAGUCAAAACACAAAAACCUAAAAGAAGAUUUGUUUUUCUUUUUGGGUUAAUAAAGACGAUUCGAAUUUAUCCAAAAAGAAAUCAGUAGUUAAAUAUACUUCAUAUAUAUAAUAUAAGCUAAAGAGAAGAACAAGAAACAAAGAUUGAAGACAUUUCCUUUACGUUGCUCCAAAACUUGGGGUUUCUUAAUUAUCCUCAAAUUAAUAAGCCGUAUACAACAUUUUCAUCCAUCAAGUUUAAAAGAAAUAAUAUGAUCAUAAAAUGAUACAUGUAUACGUUUCCUUUUUUCUUUUUCUCCCACUAGAUCUUUAUAUUAGUGGGAAGCAGCAGCCAUUAAAGUUUGACAGUGAUGAUCAGCUUUUGGUGUAGCAACAAGAUAUAUGAUCAUAAAAUGAUACAUACGUUUCCUGUUUUCUUUACUUAAUUUUUUUCCCCACUAGAUCUUUAUAUUAGUGAGAAGCAGCAGCCAUUAAAGUUUGACAGUGAUGAUGAUCAGCUUUUGGUGUAGCAACAAACCUUGAAGAAAAAGCACAAAUUUUGUCAUAAUCUUCAUCCAAUAAACUUCCGGUUCCACUUGUAUCAAAGUUCAAUGCAUAACUAAGUGGAUCAUACCGACAUUGGAACGAUGAUUGUCGACUAGUAUACAUAGUGCUACUCACCGCUGUUUUCAACAUUUUAUUGCUACGUCUCUUCAACUUCCUCAUUAAUCUUGAUAAACCACAACAUGAGCUCAAUGUAGCAGCAUUACUUUCUGAUGAUGUUGCACUACAACUUCUGGUGGUGCGACCACCGCCGUAGAGGGUGUCUACCGCUGUGGCUCCGGUGGUUGUAGAGCUGAUGGUUUUCGGCCACCAUUGACGUCCCAUUUGUGUCAUUUUCUUGCCUUUCUAAUUUAUGCAAUAAUGAAGAAGUUUUUAGCUAGGAUAAAUGAACAGAAUGAAAAAAAUGGAUAGGUGAGACAAGUUUUGGUUAGAGAAAUGGGUAAAUGGGAGGGGGUGGUGAGACGAGUGAAGGGAAAUGGCGAACUAGGUUUUGAAUUUAUAAAGGUGGUGACUGGUAAAGAUGGGGUUCGUUGGAGAUUGAAUUUGAUGGUCUCAAUGAUAUAUUUUACGUUAUUUUACUGAUAGUACUGUGCUUCAUUAAUAUAAUACAAAACCAGGCCACCUAAAUUUGUAUGAUUUGUAAAGUCAAUACAUGAGCUUAUUUUUUUUGUUUGAACACUUUAACUUAACGAAAUGAAUAUUAAUAAACAUACCAUUAACCAAGCCCAUGUGAAAGUGACACCGCUGACAUAACUAAAUAAUGUGCAAAUGACAAGGCGUGAAUAGUUUUAUUUUUAUUAAAAAAAUACUAGAAAUAGAAUAAAAUAUAAAUAAGAAAAAAAAAAAGAAAAAAAAGGCCUUUCUCUUCCCUUCUUUUCCCCUCCCCUCCCACCUCUCUCAUCUUCCCAAGUGAACUCCCACAUCAUAUAAAUAUUUCUCAUUUUCUAUCAUUCAUCUAAAGUAUUGUACAAGGGCUAAAAACAUUGCAUAUUUGAUCAAUCAUUCAUGCGAAGUAUGCAAAAUUCUCCUUUACCUAUUUUCCUAUUCUUUUAAUGGUUUUAUUCUCUUAGGGGUAAAUGUUUCUUUCCACAUUUUAGCGGGACCCAUAUUGAUUGGUGAAACUCCGGCAUCUAUUGCUAUCAGAGAAACUACCUCUUCGGUUACAGCAAUAACCCGAGUAGUCAUUUCUUGACUAGAACUCAUAGUGGAUGUCGAAAUUUUCGCUUUUGCAAGUGAAAUUUCAUCUUCAAAUUCAACAAGAAGAGCAAUGGUGGAGCCCACAGGAACGGGCCGACCUUCAAAAACAAUAAUAGUAGCUAAAUAACCAUCGUAAAAAGAUUCAAUAUCUAUGACAAAUUUAUCUUAUUCAACAAUAAGAACUGCUUCACCUUUUGGCAAGUUUAUCACUUUUGGUUUUGACCCAACUCCCGAUCUUGCCUUCACUCAUAGUAGAAUUGAGUACAUGCAUAAAAACUUUACGGAUCUUGGAUUCUACUACAUCGGUUCUGUGUAAAUGGGUGGGGNNNNNNNNNNNNNNNNNNNNNNNNNNNNNNNNNNNNNNNNNNNNNNNNNNNNNNNNNNNNNNNNNNNNNNNNNNNNNNNNNNNNNNNNNNNNNNNNNNNNNNNNNNNNNNNNNNNNNNNNNNNNNNNNNNNNNNNNNNNNNNNNNNNNNNNNNNNNNNNNNNNNNNNNNNNNNNNNNNNNNNNNNNNNNNNNNNNNNNNNNNNNNNNNNNNNNNNNNNNNAAUGGAAGCACGACGGAGGGUGAUUUGGGUGGUGGGGAUGAAAGUGGAAAAAAAAAGAAAAAGAAAAAGAAAUUCAAAAUUUUAAAGAUUGAAAUUUUUUUAAUAGUAUAGGACCCACAAAUUCUAAAAACCAAAUAUAUGAUGGAAUCCAUGCAUUGGAGAAUACGUUCAACAUAAACUAGAAUGCAACAUCUAUUGAACUAUUGCAUUUAUCGUAUUAAAUUGGUUUGAGAAAAUUUGCAUAGAGGCGAGCAAACAUCGAUAUGAAAUAAGAGAAGUUUAUCGUUGACUUGUGGAGUAUACGUAAUUUAAGACGUUUUUCUUGGCCACCCUUGGCAAUAUAAUUUUUUCCCAGUAUGCAUCCUAAUGAUUAUUUUCUUGUAACUUGAGGUAUUAGUUACAACUAACAGAAGUUAAGGGCAUAUAUGCCCCUUAACGUAAUUAUAUAACAACAGAAUGCCAUCAAUUUAAACAAAUUUUUCUGAGUUUGAUUUGAAAUUCUGCUGCUCAAGAUUGCUUAUUAAAAGAUAAAGAUGUUUAGGGUAGUUAAGUUAGAGGGAGAAAAGUUCAUGCAUCUAAACCAUUUAGUUGGUAGUGAGAAUCCUAAUGAUUAAGGAAUAACUUUUUGCCAAGAAGAAAAGGUAGUUAAAACCAAUUUAAUAUAAGUGAUCACAAAAGAACAGCAGUCGUUUAACGUUUUUCACAAAAAAAUAAUGUGAACUUAGGUAACAAAACCAUAUGGGUGUGAUCUGAAAUUCUGAAUCAUCUGAUUAGAUCAGAUCAGUUGGUAUCCACUCACUUCCAUACUGGUAACAUCAAAAUCAAAAAGCUGCCGUGUAAAACUUUUUUUAUUGCAUUCACAUGUGAUUGCUCUUUACAAUUUUUCCUGAAUAGGUAGGCAAUUAAUAUCAAAAAAUAUUCAAUGAAGCUUUCUUUUAUUUUUAUCACCGCCUCACCAAAAUUAGCUAACAUUUUUUCCAACUGAUCAAGAACUCCCUUUAUUGGCUCUUUCCUCUUUGGUAAAAUAUCUUUUAACCGCAAACGUCUCCUUUUGAUCUUUAAUUUCUCUUGUUCUUAGAGUUUCCUUUAUUAAGAUUUAAUUAGUUGAUAGGCCGUUGGACUUAGUUUUUAUUAGUUCUUUAUAAUAGAGUUAUUCUUGCCCCUUAAUUAUCACUAUUAAUACUACAACAAAAGAUAAUCAAAGAUAAUAAAGAAUAAUAAAGGAUAAUAAAGCCAUAAGGGCUAAUAAAGAUGGGAGGAAUCUUGGGUUUUUUUUGUAAUAUUUAUGUAACGAUCAUAUAUUGAAUUAUUUUUUAUUUGGUUCACAUGUUUCUAUCAUGUAUGUACUGUUAGUAUACUGCAUUUGUAAAAUAAUUCUGGAAAAAAUAAAAUAACAUAUAAACAGAAAUAUAAACGAAACAGAAGUUAAUCCGUGUAUAUUGAAUUUAUAAUGUUUUCUUAAAGAAUUUAACUCUCUCCUAAUAACCAUGGUUGUGGAUUAUCUCCUCACAGGAUAGAACGAAUUACGCACUAGUAUAAUGUUACUUCAAACUCCAGUGUUUCAGCGAACAUAAAGCUCAGUAGCAAAUUACACUUACUGUUGCUUUCCUUGAAGUUAAAACAAUGCAUAAGAAAGGAGGAGACCUCAGAAAAUCGUAUGAAAAAUAUGAGAGAAUGGACUGGUAUCAAUGUUGAGCUCAAAACUGAAGAGGUGCAACUCUUCAUAAUAGUUGUUUAUGUAAAACGGCCAUAACAAAAUGCCAUAACAUAAAUAGCUAUUUACGCAACAAUAAAUCGGGGAUUGAAGAGGGAGGUUAAUUUUCAGUUACAAAAUCAAAAACUCAAAACGGAUAACGGGAAAAAAUAUUCAAUAUUUUCGUUGGAUUUAAUAUUUAAUAUUUCGUUGGAUUUCUAAUAAUAUUUGCUAUUAACUGUUGGAUAUUGAGUUUGGGUUGCUGGUGUAGACAUGCGAGUUUUGACCCUCCCCAAAAUUUUUUAUAUUUUAGCAUAUAAAAAUUUAAUUUAGGCCUAAUAUAUCUAUUUCAACUCAUUUUGACUCUUUUACUUUAUUUUAUUAUAAGAAAAAUAAAAAUUACAAAAUAUAUUUUAGUUUAUGCAUUUUUCAUAAUUUUUUUUAAAAAUACAAAAAAUAGUAACUUAUUUUUAUCUUUAUAUAAUUUUGAAAAUACAAAAAUAGUUUCAUGUUUAGUUUAAUUAAUUAGGAUUAGCUUUGAUAUUGUGUAGUAUUUCUAUCUUAUUUUAAAAGGCAUUGUAUAGUUUAAGGACCCUUCUAGACUCUUCUUUGAAACAAAAAGAUAAUAUAAAAGAUUUUAAAGACUUAACACAAAAAGACUAGGAUUAAUUUGCAAAGCACACACUUAGACCUACAACUAUAUAAUAGGAGAUACACUACACAAUCAAGGGACCAAAAAAUUAUCGUCACCAACAUUUUAAUAGCUCUUUCUUUGAAGUAAACAACAAUAAGAAGUGACUUCCACCGUUCACGUGUACGUGUGCAUAGAGAAAAGAAGGCAGAACUACUAAAAGAAUUCCACCCUUAAAUGAGACAGCCGUAAUUCCUAACCAUAAGAAAGGAAGCAGCUUCAAUCGAAUUCCAAAAAGUCGAAACAACUUCAAUUUUGUUGUUUUGGGUUCUGCUCCUUCCGUUCCAAUUUCAAUUUUGGUUUCAGAAAUAGAGCUUGCUUGAGCUCGUUUUGGGUUUGAGCCUUUCUGACGCCGAUUCAAAUUUUUAGUUCUGGUCCGAGUUCUAGAUUCUGGUUUAAGGUCGAUUUUGGAUCUAGGAUCUGUCAGGAGUAGUCAUUUGUGUGAAUUUUGCUGGAAGUUUUGUUUAAUGGAAAAUCGUGCUUUCAGUUAAGGUCCAUUCUCAGUUUAUCUUUACUAUGGAUUAGUUGAAAAUUAUAUUUGUCUGCCUAUGCUAAAAUCAUUUAAUUGCCUUAUUUUAGUUAGAGAUCAUGAAUGCCUGCUGGAAUUGUUGAACUACAUGAAGUCAUGAAAUAUAAUGUGCCCAUUAGUGCUAGUUUAUAUAUAUAUAUAUAUAUAUAAUUUGUUUCAUGUGCUUUCAAUGCCAAAUUUGUGGUUGGAAUGAUUUAGUUGCUUCAAAUUGAGUAGGUGUGCGGGAAAGAUUACGUAAAUUUAUGGGAGGACCAUUUUGAAUACCUACUGUUUAAUACAAAUGUUUUGAGACGGAAAUAGUAAUUAUUAUUAUUAUUUUUGAUAGUGUAUUUGUCUACUUUUUUCUUGUAUAUAUUUUUCAUUUUUUUUUUUGGUAAACAUUCUAUUCAUUAAUAUCAAAAAAAUAUUUACAAGUUGACUCUUUAGUAAGAGUUUAGACUACUCCUAUUCAUUUACACCAAUCUUCUAUACUAAAUUCUAACUUUCUCUAGGUGCAUCAUAGUAUAGGACAACUAGUAAACUAGAACAACCAAGAAACUAAGGAAACUUGUUAAUUUUGUCCAAGCCAACUUGCCAACGCCUGCAAUUCCUACCUCGGAUAUAGAUUGACAGGGCUAUUUCUCUGCACAGUUCAGAUUCUUCAUAUUUUUUCCAAUUAAAUCUGAUGUUAUUUCUUUCCCGCCAGAUAAGAGCAACAGUGUUAAUGAAGGCACAAGCUGUUAUACUAUUAAGUGCCACUCUACUAUUUGCCUUGCUACACACCCACUGCAAUUCUGUUUCCCAGUCCAGGAACUAGGAUACCAAAUUUCUGUAGUCUGUCUACUGUAGGCAGCCUCUUUUGAGCAGCUAGCCAGACAGUAAACCUGUGUCUAGGUUGAGCAUGCGCAAGCAAUAUCAGAUUCUUCCAAGCAACUUUACUGUAAGUAGGAACCAAUGCCAGGUAUAACUUCUGGAUAUGAAACUGUUCCAGCCUGCAGAAACCUUGCAAUCUACUGAACAGACUGCCUAGUAUCAGUUGAGCCCCCAUUAUGUCAUUCCUUCUGUCCAUUAUCUUCCUUACAACCCAAGAAGCUGCCUUAGGUAUGGACAUUGUUUCAAUGUCCAUCUGCUUGAUGAUAUAACUUCUGAAUAUGGAACUGUUCCAGCCUGCAGAAGCCUUGCAAUCUACUGAACAGGAUGCCUUGUAUCAGUUGAGCACCCAUUAUGUCAUCCCUUAUGUCCAGUAUCUUCCUUACAACCCAAGAAGUUGCCUUAGGUAUGGACAUUGUUUCAAUGUCCAUCUGCUUGAUAUAGUAGCUGUGCACCCAUCUAAUCCACAAGCAAUCCUUCUUCUUAGCCAAAUUCCAGAGAUGCUUGCUAAUUGCUGCCUUAUUCCAUACUGUCAUAUCUAUAAUAUUCAGUCCACCAGCAGAGAUAGGCCUACAUACACUGUCCCAAGCCAUUAGGGCCUUUCUAAACAGCUUUACACUCCCAGUCCAAAGAAAGGUUCUGCAUAUAUUUUCAAUGGUUUUCAAUACUUUCUUAGGCAGGAUGAACACUUGAGCCCAGUAGGUUUGAAUGUAGUCCAAACUCCAAAGAAAGGUUCUGCAUAUAUUUUCAAUGGUUUUCAAUACUUUCUUAGGCAGGAUGAACACUUGAGCCCAAUAGGUUUGAAUGCCAAAUAUGAUAGAUUUUAUCAGUUGACAUCUUCCAGCAUAGGAAAGCAGUUUGGCAGACCAGCAUGUUACUUUAGCUGUAAUCUUCUCAAUUACUGGUAAGUAGUGGCCAACAGACAGUUUGGAAAUUUUCAUGUUUUAACUUCUUUUAUUUCAUCUAUAGUAGUUUUAACAAAUUCCUGAAAUAGAAUUGUAAGAACUUCUUAAGUUGUAAAUAAUUCACAGUAGUUUGUUAAUAAUUUAAAGGGCUAAUGAUCCCCCACAACUUCAUCUCCAUAAUUCAAGGCCUCACAACAUCCUAAAUAGCUUAAGAAUAAUGGAUGAAUAUCGUAGAUUGCUUUAGGCGCUCUAUUUUUAAAAAUUACCUUUCUAAAUUCGGAUGUGCAUUUAUGUGACCCAAAUUUAAAUUUCAACAACAUUAGAAAAAAAUGUAUCUUGGACCGCGGAUGCAUUUAUAUGACGUUGUUCAAGACAUGUUUUAGAUGACGUGAAUCUUUCUCCAAAAAAUAAUUUCUUAAAGCGGUUAAAAAGUUAAAAUUAAACCAUAGGUUAAAACACGUGUUAAAAUCAGAUAAUAUGCCAAUAAUAAUAGUUGAACAACCCUGCUAGAACCAUGGAACUCGGGAAUGCCCAACACCUUCUUCCUGAUUAAUAGAAUUUCUUACCCGAAUUUCUGUGUUCGCGGAUUGUAAAACAGAGACAAUCUUUCCUCGAUUUGGGAUUUAAACCGGUGACUUGAGACACCAUAAAUUAUCCCAAGUGGUGACUUUUAUUCUUAAAUAAAUAAUAUCGUUUCGAUUAUCACUUUAAUUGGAAAAACUCCAUUUUUAUGCCCUUCCGGGGGUAUGGUAAAAAAUGAGGUAUGACAGUGGGUAGCCCAUAUGAUCUGACCUGACCUGUUUUUAAAGGAGAUAUAAUUAAGGGAAGCUAUAAGGGGAAGAAGAUUUAACUCCUAAAAUAAAAUUACCGCAUGUUGAGAAGUAAGGGAGAGCGUGAGGAUCAACGUGGGUUAGUUUUACAGUAGUUUUUAUUUUCUCUAAAAACUUUCCCUCUCUAUAAAUUGAUGCUCCCCUUCUUCAAAGAAAGAUACUCUACGAUAAAAUCCCUACAAAGAUAGAAAUACAGUAAAAGAAAGAAAAAUGUAUUUAGUUCGGGAACAAAAAUUUUAUUUUCAAGAGAGACAAAAUCGAAUUCAGACAAUUUAUUAGAACAGAUUGCAAUAAUCAUUCGUUGUUGUUAAAAGGUAUAAAUUCUUUGUCCCUGUUACUUGUAUUUUACUAUCAAUGGUAUCGGAGCCAGGUUGUUUCUCGUUUCUUUAAACAUGGAACAAUAGAAAACUCUAUUGAAAAAGUUCACCUCCAAUCAUCGUUUGUUGUUGUUUGUUCCAAAGCAAUUUUUUCUAAAAAAAAAUGUAUGACGAAGUGGUUAUAAAUCAUAAACUCUGCACGAGAAUGUCCUGAAAUGAGAGUCGAACAGUGAUCUCCCGAAUGGAAAUCUAUUGAACCGUUCAUUCUGUUGAGUAAUUAGAUACGGCUAGCUAGCUUUUAGUGCUUCUUUGUUGCCUUUCUACUGGCGCCAUAACUUCGAGGAAAUAAACACUCCAAAAUUAAAUUAUGGGGAGGAGUAGAUAACCAAAAGUGUUACCAAAUUCAACCAACUCCAAUGUUGAUAUUGCAUUCAAGUUUACAGUUCAAAGGCAUUAUUAUCCUGAUACUACUAAAAGAAAUUAAUGGUUAGCGGUAGGUAUUAUUUGAAAGCUAAUUCUAUCAAAAUCUCAUAUCAAAAUUGGUUAAGAAAAUUGAAAAGGGAGUACUAAAAUAACGUUAAUUUUUCUACCAUCUAGUACUGUUUUUAAUAGCAAUUCAAUUAUUGAUCUUCAUGUUAACAGUAUUAAGCCAAAUCAAAUCAAAUAUAAGAAAUAUCAAACCAUUGAAUUACCUAGUUGACGUAUCUGCUGUGUGGGAUUUUUCUGAUUUUGAAUUGGCAUGUGAAAUUUGUGUUUCUUGUUCAUAAACAUUCUGUUCUCAUAAUAUGCUUUCACUUGUUGAAACUGGAAAAGUGUUUUUUUCCUACUUAAUAUAGAAAAUUAGUUUAGCCCUUAUUCCUUAUAUUGAAAUAUUUCUACGGUUAACAUGACAUAUAAUGUCACAUUGAGUGGUUAUAGCUAUUCUUAUUGUUUUCUUGGUCUAAUUUCAGAUAUGGCUGAACAGGGAAAAUUCGAAUUACUCCAAGUGGGAGUUCUCGAAAUCAAGGAAGGGGACAACGUAGAAGGAUACGUCGCUGCAGGACUUAUUUCUAUAAUGAUUCAGACUCGGAACCUGAAGUCAUCGGGAAUGUCCCAACGGCGAGGCAGAAUGAGUUAAGGGAUCAAAGGGCUCAACGAAGGGAAAGAGAAUAGAAAUUUAGGGGCUUAAAGAAUUUAAAACGGGCCUUGAUAUUUUCGUUCCUAAACUUGUACACCUUUUUA
rnacentral:lncRNA from 1 species